AAUACCCGCUGAACUUAAGCAUAUCAAUAAGCGAAGGAAAAGAAACCAACAGGGAUUGCCCUA
rnacentral:rRNA from 1 species